AUGGUGAAAAGUACCGCGGGAGCGGAGUGAAAUAGCACCUGAAACCGUGUGCCUACAAGCCGUGGGAGCGUCGGAUGGAAGCUUGCUUCCAUCUCGUGACUGCGUGCCUUUUGAAGAAUGAGCCUGCGAGUUUGCGGUGUGUUGCGAGGUUAACCCGGGUGGGGAAGCCGUAGCGAGGGCGAGUCCGAAUAGGGCGUUUCAGUAGCACGCUCAAGACCCGAAGCGGAGUGAUCUAGCCAUGGGCAGGUU
rfam:Streptomyces afghaniensis 772 genomic scaffold STAFG_scaffold720, whole genome shotgun sequence.